rnacentral:rRNA from 1 species
UACGUAGGGGGCAAGCGUUGUCCGGAAUUAUUGGGCGUAAAGGGCUCGUAGGCGGUCCAUCACGUCGGGAGUGAAAAGCUGGGGCUUAACCCCAGUCCUGCUUCCGAUACGGGUGGACUAGAGGUAGGCAGGGGAGAACGGAAUUCCUGGUGUAGCGGUGAAAUGCGCAGAUAUCAGGAGGAACACCAAUGGCGAAGGCAGCUCGCUGGGACGUGACUGACGCUGAGACGCGAAAGCGUGGGGAGCAAACAGG